UACAGAGGUGGCAAGCGUUGUUCGGAAUUACUGGGCGUAAAGGGCGCGUAGGCGGUCGUGACAAGUCACUUGUGAAAUCUCCGGGCUUAACUCGGAACGGUCAAGUGAUACUGUCGGACUAGAGUACAGAAGGGGCAACUGGAAUUCUCGGUGUAGCGGUGAAAUGCGUAGAUAUCGAGAGGAACACCUGCGGCGAAGGCGGGUUGCUGGGCUGAUACUGACGCUGAGACGCGAAAGCGUGGGGAGCAAACAGG
rnacentral:rRNA from 1 species